UACAGAGGUCUCAAGCGUUGUUCGGAUUCAUUGGGCGUAAAGGGUGCGUAGGUGGCGCCGUAAGUCGGGUGUGAAAUUUCGGAGCUUAACUCCGAAACUGCAUUCGAUACUGCGGUGCUUGAGGACUGGAGAGGAGACUGGAAUUCAUGGUGUAGCAGUGAAAUGCGUAGAUAUCGGGAGGAACACCUGUGGCGAAAGCGGCUCACUGGACCACAACUGACGCUGAUGCGCGAAAGCUAGGGGAGCAAACAGG
rnacentral:rRNA from 1 species